GCGUUUUGAGCAGCGCGCCGUUGUUGAGAAGGGGUUUGGUUUGGUUUGGGCUUGUAGCGUUCUCGUUCUGUUGGCGUGUUUUCUGUUGGCGUGUUUUCGUUCUCGUUCUCGUUUGGAGAGCGUUUUCUCGUUUGCAGACCCAAAACAACAAAACCAAACACUCUGAAACUCUUUUGCUUUGCUUUGAUUCGACUAGACUAAACUAAAA
rnacentral:misc_RNA from 1 species